AACGAACGCUGGCGGCAGGCUUAACACAUGCAAGUCGAACGCCCCGCAAGGGGAGUGGCAGACGGGUGAGUAACGCGUGGGAAUCUACCGUACCCUACGGAACAACAGUUGGAAACGACUGCUAAUACCGUAUACGCCCUUAGGGGGAAAGAUUUAUCGGGGUAUGAUGAGCCCGCGUUGGAUUAGCUAGUUGGUGGGGUAAAGGCCUACCAAGGCGACGAUCCAUAGCUGGUCUGAGAGGAUGAUCAGCCACAUUGGGACUGAGACACGGCCCAAACUCCUACGGGAGGCAGCAGUGGGGAAUAUUGGACAAUGGGCGCAAGCCUGAUCCAGCCAUGCCGCGUGAGUGAUGAAGGUCUUAGGAUUGUAAAGCUCUUUCACCGAUGAAGAUAAUGACGGAAGUCGGAGAAGAAGCCCCGGCUAACUUCGUGCCAGCAGCCGCCGCGG
rnacentral:rRNA from 1 species